CCCUUAGAUGUUCUGGGCCGCACGCGCGCUACACUGACGAAUGCAACGAGCUUAUAACCUUGGCCGAAAGGUCUGGGUAAUCUCCAAAUUUCGUCGUGAUGGGGAUAGAUUAUCGCAAUUAUUAAUCUUCAACGAGGAAUGCCUAGUAAGCGCAAGUCAUCAGCUUGCGUUGAUUACGUCCCUGCCCUUUGUACACACCGCCCGUCGCUCCUACCGAUUGAAUGGUCCGGUGAAGCGUUCGGACCGUGGCCUUUGGACGGUUCGCCGUCUGUUGGCUGCGGGAAGUUCGUUAAACCUUAUCAUUUAGAGGAAGGAGAAGUCGUAACA
rnacentral:rRNA from 1 species